rnacentral:rRNA from 1 species
UUAAGCAUAUUAGUAGGCGGAGGAAAAGAAACCAACCGGGAUUCCCCUAGUAACUGCGAGUGAAGAGGGAUUAGCUCAAAUUUAAAAUCUGGCGGGUUCCCCGUCCGAGUUGUAAUUUGAAGAGGUGUCGACCGCGCCGGACCACGUGAAAGUCUCCUGGAAUGGAGCGUCACAGAGGGUGAUAAUCCCGUAUUUGACGUGGACUACCGGGGCUUUGUGUUGCGCCCUCAAUGAGUCGGGUUGCUUGCGAAUGCAGCCCAAAAUGGGUGGUAAAUUCCAUCUAAGGCUAAAUACCGGUGGGAGACCGAUAGCGAACAAGUACCGCGAGGGAAAGAUGAAAAGAACUCUGGAAAGAGAGUCAAACAGUAUGUGAAAUCGUCAGGAGGGAAACGCUUGAAGUGGGCGUACGCGGGUGGGAAUCAGGUUGGGGCUUCGGCCCUUGCUGUACUUCCCUCUUGCGGGCCAACAUCAGCUCUGGUCGGCGUAAAAGGUCGGAGGGAAUGUGGCGCCCUUCGGGGCGUGUUAUAGCCUUUCGUUCCCCGCGUCGGUCGGGACUGACGAGUUGCCGUCGCGCGGAUCUUCCGCACGGGUGCCUCCCCUCAUGGUGGUGCGACGCGAUGUUGGUUGGUCGGCUUUAAGCGACCCGUCUUGAAACACGGACCAAGGAGUGCAACACAUGCGCGAGUGUUCGGGUGGAAAACCCAAGCGCGCAGCAAAAGCGAUGUCCGGGAAUCCUUACGGAGGCACCGGAGCCCGGCCCAAAAGCGCGACGCAAGUCAAGUAGACGGUGCCGAGGCAGAGCGCAUGUGCUGCGACCCGAAAGAUGGUGAACUAUGCCCGGGUAGGGUGAAGCCGGAGGAAACUCCGGUGGAGGCCCGCAGCGAUUCUGACGUGCAAAUCGAUCGUCUGAUCUGGGUAUAGGGGCGAAAGACCAAUCGAACCAUCUAGUAGCUGG